AGAUUGAACGCUGGCGGCAUGCCUUACACAUGCAAGUCGAACGGUAACGCGGGGGCAACCCUGGCGACGAGUGGCGAACGGGUGAGUAAUACAUCGGAACGUACCCAGUAGUGGGGGAUAGCUCGGCGAAAAGCCGGAUUAAUACCGCAUACGACCUACGGGUGAAAGCGGGGGAUCGAAAGACCUCGCGCUAUUGGAGCGGCCGAUGUCGGAUUAGCUAGUUGGUGAGGUAAAGGCUCACCAAGGCUACGAUCCGUAGCUGGUCUGAGAGGACGACCAGCCACACUGGGACUGAGACACGGCCCAGACUCCUACGGGAGGCAGCAGUGGGGAAUUUUGGACAAUGGGCGAAAGCCUGAUCCAGCCAUGCCGCGUGUGUGAAGAAGGCCUUCGGGUUGUAAAGCACUUUUGUUCGGUAACGAAACGUCAAAGGCGAAUAAUCUUUGAUAAUGACGGUACCGGAAGAAUAAGCACCGGCUAACUACGUGCCAGCAGCCGCGGU
rnacentral:rRNA from 1 species